CAGAAAUAGCCAAGAAAUACGGGUAGUCCUUGACUUAUGACCAUAAUUGAGCCCAACAUUUAUAUUGGUUAAGCAAGACAUUUGUUAGCUUUGGUUGCAGUGCUUUAUCUAUAAUCGUUUAUGAAUCCCUUGCCAGCUGACUGAUAUCUUAAGGCAGCGACAGUGGCCACCUUAGGAAGUUGCUGGCAGAAUUUGUUUAUUCUUCCUUUUGGACUACAACUACUGCAGCUUGAAUGAUAGGGACCCCAGUUCUACUGCUCAAGAGAUGGUGAACUGAUAUUGACAAGGGCUCCAGAACAGAGGUAUGUAGUUGGAACUGGCUUGGUACCCAUGUGGAUGGUCUUUUGUACCCAGGGGGAGGAGUCAAGGGGGAAAUUGAGCAUGCAUGAAGCUCAUUCUCUGCUGGGAGCCGUCGGGUGAGGAGCUCACGGCCGCGGCUCCUGAAGCUAGGCCCAGCCCUGCCAGGGGAAGGUCGGACUCACCCCUGGGAACUCGGAGCUGGGCAGUGGAGGUCCGGAACUGGUCCUGGGCUACGGGAUUAUUUUCAAGCGUUGGCGGGAGGCCCAGGAGACUCGUGUUCGCCGGGUGGGGCCUCCAGAAGAUCGGCUGGUCGAUGGUUGUGGCGAUUGGCUCCGGUCUGUAGACGCUGGUCGUGGGAUGGGACGGGAAGCCCGGCGGAGGCUUCGGUGCUGGUAUGUAGUUGGAACUGGCUUGGUACCCAUGUGGACGGUAUUUUGUACCCAGGGGGAGGAGUCAAGUCAAGGACGUUCAGCCUGCACCUGGAGUGGCGUGACUGGGAGGCAUCUCCAAUUGGGACAGUGGAUUGAUUGGACCAUGUGAUGGACAUGUGGAUGCAGAGGAAGGAACUUCAACUUUCCUUUGGGUGGGGAAAACCCGGGAGCUUUCAGAUUUGGGUUUUCCCAGAUGUGCCAAUAUGACAUCUCUAAUAAAAUGGAACUUUGAGGAA